CAGAAAAUACUUUAGUGUGCCCAGAUCCUUAGUCUGAAAGUGUUGAAAGAGAUGUUGCUUCAAUUUAGUAAUACCAUUCUGGUCAUUGCCGGUAAUAACAAUGUCGUCAACAUAAAUCACCAGAUAAAUACAGAGACGUGAAUCAGAAUGCGGAUAGCAUACAGAGUGAUCAGCUUCACCCCGAGUCAUGCCAAAGUCCUGGAUAACAGUGCUAAAC
rnacentral:lncRNA from 1 species